rnacentral:rRNA from 1 species
UACGAAGGGGGCUAGCGUUGCUCGGAAUUACUGGGCGUAAAGGGCGCGUAGGCGGCACUGUUAGUCAGGCGUGAAAGUCCUGGGCUCAACCUGGGAACUGCGCUUGAUACGGCAGAGCUAGAGGAUGGAAGAGGCUCGCGGAAUUCCCAGUGUAGAGGUGAAAUUCGUAGAUAUUGGGAAGAACACCGGUGGCGAAGGCGGCGAGCUGGUCCAUUACUGACGCUGAGACGCGAAAGCGUGGGGAGCAAACAGG